UACGGAGGAUGCGAGCGUUAUCCGGAUUUAUUGGGUUUAAAGGGUGCGUAGGCGGGUUAUCAAGUCAGCGGUAAAAUCGUGGAGCUCAACUCCAUCCAGCCGUUGAAACUGAUGAUCUUGAGUGGGCGAGAAGUAUGCGGAAUGCGUGGUGUAGCGGUGAAAUGCAUAGAUAUCACGCAGAACUCCGAUUGCGAAGGCGGCUUACUGGACGGCAACUGACGCUGAGGCUCGAAAGCGUGGGGAGCAAACAGG
rnacentral:rRNA from 1 species